AAAAGCAUCGGAGAGGCAGAUGUGGCCUGCGGUCUACCUAUUGAAGAUCCUGCUCUAGGAACAUUCAGAACUUAUUGUCCUGAGUCAUUUUCCAUGCCACUUGUCCUCACCAGGCUGCACAGUUCACCUCAUUGCCAUAUACCCAGCAGCAGAGAAGAGGAAGAAGAAGCACUUCAUUGAUGAAAGACUUGAAAAAAGUUCUGGUCUGACUGUUUUGAGUUGCUGUGAAGGCACCAGGGGUUGGGGCGUGUCGUUUUGGGCAUCAGUUGAG